rnacentral:rRNA from 1 species
UACCCGCAGCACAAGUGGUGGUCAUUAUUAUUGGGCCUAAAGCGUCCGUAGCUGGCCUGUUAGAUGCCUGGGUAAAUCGAUGCGCUCAACGUAUCGAACUCCGGGUAGACCGGCAGGCUUGGGGCCGGGAGAGAUGUGAGCUACUCGAGGGGUAGGGGUAAAAUCCUGUAAUCCUUCGGGGAGGACCAGUGGCGAAGGCGUCACAUUAGAACGGCUCCGACAGUGAGGGACGAAGCCCUGGGGCGCAAACCGG